rnacentral:rRNA from 1 species
AGCACAGUGUAGCAAUACGACGGGUGGCGACCGGCGCGACGGGUGCGUACGCGUAUCCAACCUUCCCGUUACUCAGGGAUAGCCUUCCGAAAGGGAGAUUAAUACCUGAUGGUGUUGAAAUUCCGCAUGUUAUUUCAACUAAAGAUUUAUCGGUAACGGAUAGGGAUGCGUGACAUUAGAUAGUAGGCGGGGUAACGGCCCACCUAGUCUACGAUGUCUAGGGGUUCUGAGAGGAAGGUCCCCCACACUGGUACUGAGAUACGGACCAGACUCCUACGGGAGGCAGCAGUGAGGAAUAUUGGUCAAUGGUCGGAAGACUGAACCAGCCAUGCCGCGUGCAGGAAGAAUGUCUUAUGGAUUGUAAACUGCUUUUGUAUGGGGCUAAUAAUAACUUUGCGAAGUUAGAUGCAGGUACCAUACGAAUAAGGAUCGGCUAACUCCGUG